CAGCUGGGCAGAGGAUCCUCCUCCAGUCACCACUGGGAACAAAUGUUUCUCGGAUGACCCUGGAAAAGCUGAGAUGCUCAAGUUUGAGCAAGACUCAUUCUCUGUAUUCCUGCACUGUGAGCGACACCAAAAGGAGAGAACAUAAACCCAGGAUGGGAACAAGAGGACACAAGAGGCUGGUUCUGACACAAACAGGUUAUGGAGAGUCUGCACUGCACUUCCUUUUGCUGGUGUUGUGAUCAGCAUCCCACCUGACCCUUUCCUGGCUCUGCAUUUCACACUUACAAUUUCAGUGCAGAUUGCUGUAAUAAUUUGGAUCCUACCCUUCACACACACAUGCUUUUUAACAUCAUCUCCAAAUACAUGCCCAGCAGAAAGGACUACCUGACCUGCAAAACAACUAUUCCAUAUGA